rnacentral:rRNA from 1 species
CUAACGGCGAGUGAAGCGGCAACAGCUCAAAUUUGAAAUCUGGCUCUCGGGCCCGAGUUGUAAUUUGUAGAGGAUGCUUUUGAUGCGGUGCCUUCCGAGUUCCCUGGAACGGGACGCCAUAGAGGGUGAGAGCCCCGUCUGGUUGGAUGCCAAAUCUCUGUAAAGCUCCUUCGACGAGUCGAGUAGUUUGGGAAUGCUGCUCUAAAUGGGAGGUAUAUGUCUUCUAAAGCUAAAUACCGGCCAGAGACCGAUAGCGCACAAGUAGAGUGAUCGAAAGAUGAAAAGCACUUUGAAAAGAGAGUUAAAAAGUACGUGAAAUUGUUGAAAGGGAAGCGUUUAUGACCAGACUUGGGCUUGGUUAAUCAUCUGGGGUUCUCCCCAGUGCACUUUUCCAGUCCAGGCCAGCAUCAGUUUUCGCCGGGGGAUAAAGGCUUCGGGAAUGUGGCUCUCUCCGGGGAGUGUUAUAGCCCGUUGCGUAAUACCCUGGCGGGGACUGAGGUUCGCGCAUCUGCAAGGAUGCUGGCGUAAUGGUCAUCAACGACCCGUCUUGAAACACGGACCAAGGAGUCGUCUUCGUAUGCGAGUGUUCGGGUGUCAAACCCCUACGCGUAAUGAAAGUGAACGCAGGUGAGAGCUUCGGCGCAUCAUCGACCGAUCCUGAUGUUCUCGGAUGGAUUUGAGUAAGAGCAUACGGGGCCGGACCCGAAAGAAGGUGAACUAUGCCUGUGUAGGGUGAAGCCAGAGGAAACUCUGGUGGAGGCUCGCAGCGGUUCUGACGUGCAAAUCGAUCGUCAAACAUGGGCAUGGGGGCGAAAGACUAAUCGAACCUUCUAGUAGCUGG